CACUAGCGUAUAUUAAAGUUGUUGCAGUUAAAAAGCUCGUAGUUGGAUUUCUGACAUGAAGCGUCUGGUCCGCCCCGUAAAGGUGUGUGAGUACCGGUUAUGCUUCUGUCAUCCUUCCGCAGAGCGUGCCUACCCUUCAUUGGGCCGGGUACGCGAUGUGGAUCGUUUACUUUGAAAAAAUUAGAGUGUUCAAAGCAGGCUUACGCUGUGAAUACAUUAGCAUGGAAUAAUAAGAUAGGACUUUGGUUCUAUUUUGUUGGUUUCUAGGACUAAAGUAAUGAUUGAUAGGGAUAGUUGGGGGUGCUAGUAUUCAACGGCCAGAGGUGAAAUUCUUGGAUUCGUUGAAGACUAACUUAUGCGAAAGCAUUCACCAAGGAUGUCUUCUUUAAUCAAGAACGAAAGUUGGGGAUCGAAGACGAUUAGAUACCAU
rnacentral:rRNA from 1 species